CCCCGGGCGCACGAGGCCUCCACUGCGGCUGCGCGGGCGGCGGGAGGGCGUGCGGCUUCUACUGCGGCUGCGCAAACUCCGCGCCCGGCCGCUCGUCUCCUCCCUCAGGCUCCUCCUUCCCAGUCGAGUUCCCUCGGGGCGGCUGCUUUCCG
rfam:Myotis lucifugus cont2.38458, whole genome shotgun sequence.